GGUGCGACCGGAUGAUGGUUCACAACGACCGUGCAUACUUUUAACUGGUCGGUGGGACUUUCGUCCGUUUGUAAC
rfam:Drosophila virilis strain TSC#15010-1051.87 Ctg01_14858, whole genome shotgun sequence.